rnacentral:rRNA from 1 species
GACGAACGCUGGCGGCGUGCUUAACACAUGCAAGUCACGGGGGCCCGCAAGGGCAACCGGCGAACGGGUGCGUAACACGUGACCAACCUGCCCUUGUGUGGGGGAUAGCCGGGCUAACGCCCGGGUAAUACCGCAUACGAUCCCUUGGGGGAGUCCCUGGGGGAAGAAAGCUCUGGCGCACGAGGAGGGGGUCGCGGCCUAUCAGCUAGUUGGCGAGGUAAUGGCUCACCAAGGCGACGACGGGUAGCUGGUCUGAGAGGAUGGCCAGCC